CUACGGGACGCACCAGUGGGGAAUUUUGCGCAAUGGGGGAAACCCUGACGCAGCAAUACCGCGUGAGUGAAGAAGGCCUUUGGGUCGUAAAGCUCUUUUCUUGGGGAAGAUAGUGACGGUACCCAAGGAAUAAGCACCGGCUAACUCCGUGCCAGCAGCCGCGGUAAUACGGAGGGUGCAAGCGUUGUUCGGAUUUACUGGGCGUAAAGGGCACGUAGGCGGCACAGCAAGUUAAGGGUGAAAUCCCGGGGCUCAACUCCGGAACUGCUCUUAAAACUGCUGAGCUAGAGAUAGUCAGAGGCGGGUGGAAUUCCAGGUGUAGAGGUGACAUUCGUAGAUAUCUGGAGGAACACCGGUGGCGAAGGCGGCCCGCUGGGGCUAUUCUGACGCUAAGGUGCGAAAGCGUGGGGAGCAAACGGGAUUAGAUACCCGAGUAGUC
rnacentral:rRNA from 1 species